rnacentral:rRNA from 1 species
UACAGAGGUCUCAAGCGUUGUUCGGAUUCAUUGGGCGUAAAGGGUGCGUAGGUGGCGCUGUAAGUCAGUGCUGAAAUAUCCCGGCUUAACCGGGAGGGUGGCAUUGAUACUGCAGGGCUUGAGUGAAGUCGAGGUAGGCGGAAUUGACGGUGUAGCGGUGAAAUGCUUAGAUAUCGUCAAGAACACCGAUAGUGAAGACAGCUUACUAGACUUCAACUGACGCUGAGGCACGAAAGUGUGGGGAUCAAACAGG